UAGAGUUUGAUCCUGGCUCAGGAUGAACGCUGGCGGCGUGCCUAACACAUGCAAGUCGAGCGCAGAAGCUCCCUAUGAACCUUCGGGUGAUUAGGUGAGUGGAAAGCGGCGGACGGGUGAGUAACGCGUAAAUAACCUGCCAUACACGCAAGGAUAGCCAUCGGAAACGGUGAUUAAUACUUGAUGAAGCUAUAAAGUCGCAUGACUUAUUAGUUAAAGAUUUUUCGGUGUAUGAUGGAUUUGCGUUUGAUUAGCUAGUUGGUAAGGUAAAAGCUUACCAAGGCGAUGAUCAAUAGCCGGCCUGAGAGGGUGAUCGGCCACACUGGAACUGAGACACGGUCCAGACUCCUACGGGAGGCAGCAGUGGGGAAUCUUGCACAAUGGAGGCAACUCUGAUGCAGCAACGCCGCGUGAACGAAGAAGGCUUUCGAGUCGUAAAGUUCUGUUCUAAGGGAAGAAGAAGUGACGGUACCUUAGGAGAAAGCCCCGGCUAAUUACGUGCCAACAGCCGCGGUAACACGUAAGGGGCGAGCGUUAUCCGGAAUUACUGGGCAUAAAGGGUGCGUAGGCGGUCCAUCAAGCCAAUAGUGAAAAGCAUGGGCUCAACCGAUGUAAGCUAAUGGAACUGAUAGACUUGAGUACAGGAGAGGAAAGUGGAAUUUCUAGUGUAGCGGUGAAAUGCGUAGAUAUUAGAAAGAACAUCAGUGGCGAAGGCGACUUUCUGGACUGUAACUGACGCUGAGGCACGAAAGCGUGGGGAGCGAACAGGAUUAGAUACCCUGGUAGUCCACGCCGUAAACGAUGAGUACUAGGUGUCGGAUGUGAGAAUUCGGUGCCGGAGCAAAUGUAUUAAGUACUCCGCCUGGGGAUUACGGUCGCAGGGCUGAAACUCAAAAGAAUUGACGGGGACCCGCACAAGCAGCGGAGCAUGUGGUUUAAUUCGAAGCAACGCGAAGAACCUUACCAGGUCUUGACAUACCAAUGCUAUCUGGUUAAACCCGGAGUUUCUUUUGGACAUUGGAUACAGGUGGUGCAUGGUUGUCGUCAGCUCGUGUCGUGAGAUGUUGGGUUAAGUCCCGUAACGAGCGUAACCCUUGUCAUUAGUUGCUAACAGGUGAAGCUGAGGACUCUAAUGAGACUGCCGAUGAAGAAAUCGGAGGAAGGUGGGGAUGACGUCAAAUCAUCAUGCCCCUUAUGAUCUGGGCUACACACGUGCUACAAUGGUCGGUACAAUGGGUAUGCGAAGGCGCAAGCCGGAGCCAAUCCUUAUCAAGCCGGUCUUAGUUCGGAUUGCAGAUUGAAACUCAUCUGUAUGAAGUAGGAGUUGCUAGUAAUCGCGAAUCAGAAUGUCGCGGUGAAUACGUUCCCGGGUCUUGUACACACCGCCCGUCACACCAUGGGAGUUGGAAGCACCCGAAGUCAGCAUUAUAGCUGCCGAAGGUGAAACCGAUAACUGGGGUGAAGUCGUAACAAGGUA
rnacentral:rRNA from 1 species